GCCCAGUGAGGAAACCCUUUAACGGCCGCGAGAACAAACCGCGCAAAGGUAGCAUAAUCACUUGUCCCCCAAAUAGGGACCCGUAUGAAAGGUUACAUGAGAAAGAGACUGUCCCCUCAGGUAGGUCGAUGAAACUGAUCUAUCAGUACAAAAGCUGAUAUAAAAAAGCAGGACAAAAAGACCCUGUGAAACUUUUAAACCUAAUCAAAACCACUAUUGACCAAGGUUUUUAGUUGGGGCAACUAAGGAGAAACAAAACCUCCUUUAAACCGCCAAGUCAAACAAGACAAAGCGCACCUACACACCAAUCAGACCCAGUAUAACUGAUCAAAGGACCAAGCUACUCCAGGGAUAACAGCGCCACACUCUUCAAGAGUCCAUAUCAACAAGAGUAUCUACGACCUCGAUGUUGGAUCAG
rnacentral:rRNA from 1 species